rnacentral:lncRNA from 1 species
AGACAGCUGUGGUACAGAGAAAGAAGGGAGAGAGUUCUGUACAGGAGCCCCUGAUCUCCAUAUGGGAUUCUCUUGGAAUCUUGGAGCUGUUUGGCCUGUUGAGUCAGAGAGAAGAAAUACUCUGGAAUUUACUUGUCUGUUGAAGGAGCAAGUCUACAGGCAGUGAAAGAUAAAUUUUCUCUGAACUGAACACUUCUUCCUGGAAGACAAAGGAAAGCUCAUAAGGCUCAGGAACGUCAUGAAAUUUACAAGACCCAUAAAGCUCAGAAAGGCACAAGACUUUAAGGCUUCUCCUCAAUGUUUUAUACCGAGUAAUCAGCUGCUGGGGAAGAAAAGACUUUGCAGUGGCAAUUCCUGCUAUACAAACAAGGGAAUUCCAUGUCAUAUAUGCUGAGGUAGGGAUAUUUGGUGAUGUGGCUGUAUUAUAUAUAUAUAUAUAUAUAUAUAUAUAUAUAUAUAUAUUCACACGCACACAUAUAUACAUGUACUGUGAGGAGCAGGUGUGGCAAUAGUCCCAAGAUGGCGCCCGGGACUGCAGCCAAGUCUUAUGACUUGCACCUAGAACUUCCUCAUACACCCGAAAAUAAGCCAUGUCCAUCGUGAGAGCUGCGCAGGCACACCAUGACACAAGAUCAGGCCAUUUGACGAAGGCCAAUGAACUGAGAUUGCGCGGACUGGGCUGAUGGGGCGUGGCUGAGGGGUGAUAUAAGGGAUUGCGAUUGGGGACUAGGGGAGAUUCCUGCUUGCAUGUUGAAAGGUUCCUGAAUAAACUGCUUUGAGAAGAA